rnacentral:lncRNA from 1 species
AUGGCCUCAGGUGUUCGCGCGGCCCCUCCCCGGCCCGCUCCAAGCCCGGCCCUCCGCCGCGGCUGCCUCGCCUACAGUCCGCAGCCAAGAGACCAGCAACGCCGGUCCCCGCGAGGCUGCCAGGAGCACGGACCCCUCUGCACCCCAGGCCGCAAAGAGCAGCUCUCUGCUACUUCCCACAGUGGCUCACCUGGGAACCUCAGCUCCCUGCUUCCUUCAGGAUUUUCACUCUCCACACUGGCCAUCCACAAGUGUCUCUUAAACUGCCCAUCUGACCAAGGAUCUCUCAAGUCCCCAGGGAAGAUCAAACUCUCCCUCUGGACCCUUGACUCACACUGUAAGCCCCUGAUCUUGACACCCAGAUCACCUGACAUCUGUGGGAUUAAUGACAUCAGACUGUUCCAUGGCUGUUCCUGGAACGGGACCUCUUUGCAUCCACCAUCCAUCCAUUCUCCCAGACUCUGGCCUUCAAAGUUACUGGACCUCUGCUCUCUCUACUCUCGAGCCGGUCAUCAGGGCACCAUCUGCCUCUCUUCUGCUUACAACCCUGCAGGUCCUAAGUGCUGGAAGGCAGAAGAGCCCCUUUUGAGUGAGGCACAGACAUCCACGAAGGCCACACCAGUAGAAAUGCAAGUACAGAGUGCAGGGAGAUGCUGAGCACUCAGAAAUAUCUGCUCCCUUAACAGUUCACCAACAGCUGACCCUGGCAGGUUCCUACCUCUUCCUCCUCUCACCAUCAGAGAUACAGCAGCGAGCACAGAGUGAACCAAGCAAUUUUCCAUACCUCGUGGGGCUCAGCAAGCCAAUUUGAGCACAGUAUAAACCUCUGGCCUCUGCAAAGGGGCAUAGCAAACAGUGUGAGCACACUAGAUGGUGCUCCCCCACUUUGAGCGGAGAGCAUGGCUGGGCCAGAGAGGCUGCACUUGGCUGCCAAUUCCCAGCCCAGCAGAAAGCCUCCAUUUUGCAGGGAGAAAUUAAUGGAGAGGGAGAAGCCUGGGAUAUUAUGAGUUGCCACCUGCAAUUUCUCCCUCCUAGGAGAGUGGCACGAUGGCUGAUUAAAGCAGCAGCCACCCUGCCAAGCUGGACCAGCAGCUGAGGAUGGUCCACCCGCUAAGAGGCAGGUGGGAAGCAGCAAGGGUGGCUACUAGGGGGCUCCUGGGCUUAGGCAGCCUCUUCCAGAGACUGUGAAGAGGGGAAGUCUCCAGCCAAGUGAAACACCCUUCUCCCCUCAUUACUCUUAAGAUGAAUGGUUCACAGGCCAUCUUGGUGACCUUUGGUACCCCAUGGAUUAUGGGACAAGAGACACACCUCUUGCAGAGCUCCUCAUAGGCACAAUGGGAGAACCAGGGAAAUGGCACCAAUGGAGGGAACAUCCCUUGUGCCUAAGGCUGUACCAGGCACCUUGGCCAUGGUUGCUAGCCUCCUGGCCAGGGCAAGGAGGUACAGGAGGGAGGUCCUUGUUUCAAAUGAGGAGUCAUCUGUUAGUAACAGUGGGGCCUUGGUGACAGCACAGGGUAGCCCCUGUAAAGCUGCAGAACGGUCAUAUAACACUGCCUCUGCCACAGCUAUGACCUACAUCUGGCCAGUAACACACAAUUGUGGAUCCCAGCCAUCCUCCGCCCCUGGAUGAUAAAGAUAGAACUUCCUCUGGUCACCACUUAAGACUCUUCUUCCCCAAUCCAGCCAAGGUUUCUGUGAUGGGUAGUGUUAACUGUCACCUUGACAGAAUCUAGAAUCACCUGAGACCAGCUUCUGGGCAUGACCGUUGGGGGUUAUCUUGAUUAAGUUAACUGGUGAGGAAAACCCAUUUUAGCUGUGGCUGGGACCAUUUCCUGGUCAGAAGAGCCUGAACUGGAUAAAAUGGAGAAAGGCAGCUGAGUAUAUGUGUGUAUUCACAUCCCUGUCUCCUGACUAUGACUAUGGACUUAUAUGCCCAGCUACUUCAGGGUCCCAUUGCUUGACUUCCCCCUUGUGAUGGGCUGUAUACCUAGACCUGGGAGCCAGCACAAACCCUUUCUUCCUUAAAUAGCUUUGGUCAGAGUAUUUAUCAUGGCAACAGGAAAAGAACUAAUUCCCAGCUUCCAUCCGCACUCAGGAUUUGAACAGAAGACCUGUGGGAAUGGUGACAGCCAAACCACUGCUUGAGGAAUCUGCUACAUCUAUUCACACUGGAGCUGGACUACUCCUUUCUCCAGUGACCUUGGAUCCCUCAGAUCCCAACCCUCACUAGGUUGUGAAUUUAGAAUGAAGGGUGUAGAACCGCUACCAGCCUCAUACCUCCUUCUCUAGGGUUAAUGCAUUCUGAAGCACUGAACUCAGCUUCCUAUAGUGGACCACAGGAGUGAGAAACUGAGUAGAAAGCCACAGAGAUGGCAAUCUAGCAGUUCCAGCACUGCCGGCACCAGGCACAGAAAAUGCCACCAAUAGCCCAGGGGUCCUGAGCCAGCUCUUAGCUUAGCUACCAUUCAUCAGUAAGCUAGAGUCCUCCAAGCCUGGUCUCUUCUGGCUCUCCCCUCCCCAUCCAUGACCCUAGGCAGGUCCACAGGCUCUCUGAGCCUCAGCUAGGUCAGCUAGGAAGCAGCGUGCUGUGGCAUCCUCCAGGAAGUGAACUUUGAGGCACCGCUAUCUUCCAGCUCCCUGGCCCUGGCCAUAUAUUAUAAUAAUGGCCUUGGCCAAUAGGGGCGCAAGCUAUUAGAAUGAGUUAAGACCAGAUUAAUCUGCUUAAAAAAAUAUGCCUGGUUUUUACGCUGUGCAUUCCCUCCUAACAAUUCAGGCUCCUUCCAGGCCAUUAUCUCGUUUUAUCGUUAAUUCAAUUCCAUAAACAUGUAUUAAGUGUCUAUUAUGUGCAGAGCCCUGGUCUGGUAGCUGGGGUGGGGUGGAGAGCUAUGGGGGGAAACACCCAGGUGUCUAGAGUCUAGCCAGGACCAUCUGACCUUCAGGCCCUGCUCCUGAAACCAGAGGCCAUGUGAGACUGCUCAGAGCAGGGGUGAAGUCCAUUGUCAAGGUGUUGCUUCCUGUAAGGCAGUGAGGACUAGGGAUAGAGACAGCAGCAUCUCAGAGAGUAAAGCUUACUGUGCUCAGACUUAGUUAUGCACUUACAUCCAUGGGCUCUACCCUUCCAGCCACUCAGGGGUAUGCACUGAUGUCACCUCCUCUAACACCAAGUGAAGAAACUGACGCUUAAGGAGAUAAUUUACUAGAGGAUCCUGGGUAAAUACAAAAUCAAACCUCAUAGCCUAGACUUGAGCUUCUUUAAAAAGUUCAUUAUGUUUAUUUCUUUUGUAUGUGUGGCUGGACAUUUGCCACAGUGCACGUGGGAAUCAGAGGAAAACUUAGAGCAAUCAGUUCUCUCCUUCCACCUUGUGGAUCCUAGGGACCACACUCAGAUUGUUAGGCUUGGUAGCAAGCAUCUUUACUUACUAAGCCCUUUCACUGGCCCUAAAUUUCAACUUCUAGAGAGUAUCCCAAAGGUCUCUAUAGUGUUGGGUAGGCACAAAACCUCUAAGAAUGAAUAAAUGAACACAUGCACAUGCA